rnacentral:rRNA from 1 species
CAGCAGCCGCGGUAAUACGAAGGGUGCAAGCGUUACUCGGAAUUACUGGGCGUAAAGCGUGUGUAGGUGGUUGUUUAAGUCUGUCGUGAAAGUCCUGGGCUCAACCUGGGAAUUGCGAUGGAUACUGGGCGACUAGAGUGCGGUAGAGGAUAGUGGAAUUUCCGGUGUAGCAGUGAAAUGCGUAGAGAUCGGAAGGAACAUCUGUGGCGAAGGCGACUAUCUGGGCCAACACUGACACUGAGACACGAAAGCGUGGGGAGCAAACAGGAUUAGAUACCCCCGUAGUCCCUGUCUCUUAUAC